GACGAACGCUGGCGGCGUGCCUAAUACAUGCAAGUUGAGCGCUGAAGGUUGGUACUUGUACCAACUGGAUGAGCAGCGAACGGGUGAGUAACGCGUGGGGAAUCUGCCUUUGAGCGGGGGACAACAUUUGGAAACGAAUGCUAAUACCGCAUAAAAACUUUAAACACAAGUUUUAAGUUUGAAAGAUGCAAUUGCAUCACUCAAAGAUGAUCCCGCGUUGUAUUAGCUAAUUGGUGAGGUAAAGGCUCACCAAGGCGAUGAUACAUAGCCGACCUGAGAGGGUGAUCGGCCACAUUGGGACUGAGACACGGCCCAAACUCCUACGGGAGGCAGCAGUAGGGAAUCUUCGGCAAUGGACGAAAGUCUGACCGGGCAACGCCGCGUGAGUGAAGAAGGUUUUCGGAUCGUAAAACUCUGUUGGUAGAGAAGAACGUUGGUGAGAGUGGAAAGCGCAUCAAGUGACGGUAACUACCCAGAAAGGGACGGCUAACUACGUG
rnacentral:rRNA from 1 species